AGAGUUUGAUCAUGGCUCAGGACGAACGCUGGCGGCGUGCUUAACACAUGCAAGUCGAGGGGGGUGGGGCAACCCACUCACCGGCGAACGGGUGCGUAACACGUGAGCGACCCGCCCUACCAGAGGGGGAUAGCCGGCCCAACGGCCGGGUAAUACCGCAUACGCUCUUUGGGCUACAUGGCCUAGGGAGGAAAACCCGCACGGGUGCUGGAGGAGGGGCUAGCGGCCUAUCAGCUAGUUGGCGAGGUAACGGCUCACCAAGGCGACGACGGGUAGCUGGUCUGAGAGGAUGGCCAGCCACAUUGGGACUGAGAGACGGCCCAGACUCCUACGGGAGGCAGCAGUGGGGAAUAUUGCGCAAUGGCCGAGAGGCUGACGCAGCGACGCCGCGUGUGGGAUGAAGCUCUUCGGGGUGUAAACCACUGUUGCCCGGGACGAAACUCCUGCUUUGGCGGGAUUGACGGUACCGGGUGAGGAAGCACCGGCUAACUCCGUGCCAGCAGCCGCGGUAAUACGGAGGGUGCGAGCGUUGUCCGGAAUCACUGGGCGUAAAGGGCGCGUAGGUGGCUCGUGAAGCGUGCGGUGAAAGUCCGAGGCUCAACCUCGGAUCGGCCGUGCGGACUCGCGGGCUCGAGCGUUGUAGAGGCGGGUGGAAUUCCGGGUGUAGCGGUGGAAUGCGUAGAGAUCCGGAAGAACACCGGUGGCGAAGGCGGCCCGCUGGGCAACUGCUGACACUGAGGCGCGACAGCGUGGGGAGCAAACAGGAUUAGAUACCCUGGUAGUCCACGCCGUAAACGAUGGGCACUAGGUGCUUCGGGGAGCGACCCUCGGAGUGCCGGCGCUAACGCAUUAAGUGCCCCGCCUGGGGAGUACGGCCGCAAGGCUGAAACUCAAAGGAAUUGACGG
rnacentral:rRNA from 1 species